GACGAACGCUGGCGGCGUGCUUAACACAUGCGAGUCGAACGGAAAGGCCCUGCUUGCCGGGUGCUCGAGUGGCGAACGGGUGAGUAACACGUGGGUGAUCUGCCCCUUACUUUGGGAUAAGCCUGGGAAACUGGGUCUAAUACUGGAUAGGACCAUGCUGUAGGUGGUGUGGUGGAAAGAUUAGUUUCGGUAAGGGAUGAGCUCGCGGCCUAUCAGCUUGUUGGUGGGGUAAUGGCCUACCAAGGCGUCGACGGGUAGCCGGCCUGAGAGGGUGGACGGCCACAUUGGGACUGAGAUACGGCCCAGACUCCUACGGGAGGCAGCAGUGGGGAAUAUUGCACAAUGGGCGCAAGCCUGAUGCAGCGACGCCGCGUGGGGGAUGACGGCCUUCGGGUUGUAAACUCCUUUCAGCCAUGACGAAGCCCUUGUGGUGACGGUAGUGGUAGAAGAAGCACCGGCUAACUACGUG
rnacentral:rRNA from 1 species